rnacentral:lncRNA from 1 species
CUUCAAGACUGUUUAAUAGAAUAUUCAAUAUGUUUCACUACAAUUAUCACUGUUUUUAAUGUUUACUUUAAUGUAUUAGAGAUAUAUGCUGUCUUUUUUGUUUUUUGUUUGUGUCUCUUUAACACUUGCAUGCUGCUCGUCUCUGCAGGGAGUAGACCAGUGUAGAAGAAAGUGAAAGUAGAGGGUUUCCUGUCAGAGCUGCUUAAACACCCCGACCACUGGAGCCUGCAGCUUUCACACCCUCCAACAUGAUCGAAGAAUGGUGGCACCUGGACAACUACCUAAAAGAAUCAAAAAUGGAUAAAAUCUAUCUGACCGUGUUUGGGCAGGCUUUAUAUUCCAACGUAAUCUUCGUAGACAAGCUCCGAGUUCACCUUAACUUUCGAGAGGUGACUUCGCUGGAGAGGAGUGACAUCGUCAUUGCUUUUGCCCCCAUCACAUCUCGAGCUGGAACCGACCUCGAAGCUGCUCUUAAGAGGAUCCCACAGUCUUCCAGGCCUGUUGUUCUAGUGGUGCUCCAUUACACAUUUGAUCUAAAUUUCGUGGCUCCAGAGAGCAGGUAUUUUGUUAACAGCAAUGUUAACAGGAGUGAUGUGUUCACUGUGGACUGCCUGUUUAAUGAAGAUCAAGGCCUGCUGGAAUGCCAACGCAAUAACGAGGCUGUGCAAGCGGUGACUGCUCAUCUGAUCUCUAAAGGAGUGCUGAGAAAGCUAGCAGACGUUUAUUAUCCGGCGGGGCCUGCAAACUUCCAGAUUUCUCCAGUGAACAAAGUCAUUUUGUCUGUCGGUUUUGAGGCGAUGUUAGGUGGAAUCAUUUGCAUGAUUAUUGGAUAUUGUGGUCCUAUUCCUGGGUUAUUUAUUGGGAUUUUAGGUGGGCUCUUCUCUGGGUACUUUCAUCACUUCCGUUCUAAACGUCCUAAACCGUCAGACAGACCCUCGGAGCCCUUGCUACAAGACAGAACCCACAAUCCUCAGAUGUAAUUGCUCAGCAGCAUCUAAAACGUAUAUAACACCUUUUAAUGAUUGUCAUAAACUUAUAAUAUGUAUAACUUAUAAUAGAAUAACUCACAUUUACUCAUUAGUGACUUUUAAAACAUGUUAGGUUUCACAAUGCCUUAUAAUAUGUUAAAGAACACUGCAUAUACUAUAAUAGGCAUUUUGAAACCUGUCUUUAUAUGUGAUGCAUAUUCAAAUUUAGCAAAGUGAAAGCAGCAUCUAAAGCAAAAGUGAAAGUGAAUGUAAGUGUAAAUGACUAAAUAUGCUGUAGUUCUAUAUAUAGCUUUUGCUUAUAUUUGCAUUCAUACAAUCAUCUGAUAUUAUCAAUUAUAUCAAUUUUGCUGAUGUAGAAAUACAGCUCUGGAAAAAAAAAUUAUUAUGAUUUUGCUAUUUAUUGACAUAAGUUUGGGUAAAAUAACUAUUGAUGUUUUAUUUUAUAAACUACGGACAACAUUCCCCCAAAUUCCAAAUAUAAAUAUUGUCAUUAACAGCAUUUAUUUGCAGAAAUGGCUGAAAUAACAAAAAAAAGCAGAGCUUUGUUCUGAUCAGUGUGUGACAAAUAAAUCUAAUAAAUACUUAAACUAUUAAACUCA